ACUAGGAGGCAGUCCUUGCAGGGCUGACACCCAGGGGCUUUUGGACACCGCUGGAUGCUUUGGGGUCUCAUGUCAGCUUGAUCUGUGCAGGACACAGGUAGACUUGGACAAAGCUGGAGAUGGGGUGUUUGUAAGCGCACUGGCACUUGCCAUGCACCCAACAGGGACAGUGGACAGUAGCUUCUCCCGCUCUGCUGUGCAGACCCUCUCCCGGAGCCACUGCCGCAACAUCAAACAGAAGAUCUCCCAGUGGGAGGGGAGGACACAGGGGUGCUCCAGCGAGAAGCAACAGCUGAAGGACUUUGGGGUAAAGUAUGAGCCAGGCUGUGAUGCUCUAUGUAAAGUGAAGCCAGGGCAUACAGAGAAGGGCAGAAAGACUGAAUCUGAAGAUCCAAAGAACCUGGGCCUGGACUUUAGGGAAAAUGCAAGGAGCCGCUUGCAGACUGAUGACUGUGGUGACCUCAGGCCACGUGCAUGCAGCCUGGUUUCCCAGGCCAAGGAGAAUGGAGACUGGCAAGCAGCCUUCUUGGACUCAGGGGAGAAACUGCCCCCAGGCAACUUCUACGCUUCACAAGGGCUGUGGAAGAAAGUAGAUCCCCUUCCACCUGACAAAACCCUGGCAGUGCCCUCGGACCCUCAGAGGAAGCGAGAGAGCUGUGACUCCACGGAAAGAGCGCUUAAAGCCAAGGGAGUGGACUCUCUCUGCAGGGCAGAGAGGAGCUUGAAAAACAUUUACGCAGAGGCUGAGGGGCAAGAGAUGGGGCCAGCAGCUGUCCCACCGCCCAAACCCCGUAGGACUUUCCGCUAUCUUGCAGAAAAGGACCCCAGGAGCUGCAGCGAUGCCAGCGCUAAAAAGGAAGCUGCCCUGCAAAAUCAGUGUGGAGGAGACAUGGUGUCAUCCUCUCACAGUCCUGAGCAGAGAGUAGCCAGCAGAAGGAUCAGAGGAAGAACUCAGAGGAAAUCCUUUGAGUUUGAGGACAUCCAGGGCUUCCGCAACCGAAUGGUGGCCACUAGCUCCCGCAAACUUCAGGAAGAGACAAAAGGCACCACAGGAUCCAGGCUUUUCUACACACAGUCAGAAGAUAACAUCUAUGAGGACAUUAUCUGUCCUGUGAAAGAGAACCCCUAUGAAGAUAUCAGAGCGCUGCCUUUACCCCUGUGGAAGGUCCCAUCUGUCUGGAAGUUACCAACCCCCCGGAGCGCCAAUAGGGCUCCCAAGCUUCCCCCCAAGCCUCCCUUUCUCAGUCGCAAGACUCUUGAGCUAAAGCCUUCCCAGACAAGUUUGCAAGGGAAAAUGUUGAAGGACAUAACCCUGCCUGUCACGCUGACAGAGUGGAAGCUGUUCCAAGCAGCAGAGGCUGCUAGCAGGAGAAAGAACUUGCCCUGGCUUGUACUAAAAGUACAGGAGAUCUUUGAUUCUAAACGCGGAAAGAGGGUGAAGUUGCUCAGUUCCAGUGGGAAAGAAGCUCCUCCAAAGAAAGGUGAAACCAGUGGGAAUGAAAGCAAUACAGAAAAUCAGCCAAAAAGUCGACACAGGUGCCUGCUGCAGGUGCAGUCAGCCUGCAAGAGGAACCCACACUACCAGACGUUGGAGAGGGAUUUGAUAGAGCUCCAGGAACAGCAGCUAUUUGAGCUGUUUGUGGUGGUGUCGCUACACAAGAAGGCAUCGGAGAUGACAUACACACCUCAAAUCAUACAGCAGUUUCCCAGCAAGCCUGAACAUCCCUUCAGACAGUCAAAGGAUACUGAAGAGAGGCUAAAGGUCAUUCCCAAAUUCUGCUUUCCAGAUCCCAAAGACUGGUUUCCUACAUCGGACCUUAAAAGCGAAACGUUUUCUUUUGUGUUGACGGGUGAGGAUGGCAGCCGCUGGUUUGGAUACUGCAAGAAGCUCCUGCCAGAAGGGAAAGGGAAGCGCCUUCCGGAGGUGUACUGCAUUGUUAGCCGCCUGGGCUGCUUCAACCUCUUCUCCAAGAUUUUAGAUGAAGUGGAGAAGAGACGAGAGAUGUCCCCAGCCCUAGUGCACCCAUUUAUGCGUAGUGUCAUGGAGGCACCUUUCCCUGCUCCUGGACGCACUAUUACUGUGAAGAGUUUCCUGCCAGGAGCAGGAAAUGAGGUUAUGGAACUCUGCCGUCCAUUGGAUUCUCGACUUGAACAUGUUGACUUCGAAUGCCUAUUUAAGUGUUUAAGUGUCUCUCACAUGAUUCGGGUCUUUGCCUCUCUCCUGCUGGAAAGGAGGGUGAUCUUUGUUGCUGACAAUUUAAGCACUCUGUCUAAAUGUGGCCAUGCUGCAGUGGCCACGCUUUAUCCCUUCACUUGGCAACACACCUACAUACCAGUCCUACCAACUUCCAUGAUUGAUAUUGCUUGCUCUCCGACCCCGUUCCUAAUUGGCAUUCUCUCCUGCUCGUUACCACAGCUCCAGGACCUGCCCAUAGAAGAGGUUCUGAUUGUUGAUCUUUGUGCUGACCGGUUUUUGCAAGAGGUGAGUAAAAUAAGUGUUGGCUGCUCACGGCUAUGUGCUGGGAAAGAGCACUGACGAAAUGUAAGCAAGAAAUCAGCAAAAGCUAGUAUUCAUAUGCAGACUGCGGGGGGUCCAGGUAAUAUCCUGCAUUCCUUUUAGAUCCACAGAGAAGCAAAGGGAACAGGCUUGCAAGGAUCCUUUUUGCAAGGUUGAGGUUACAUGAGAUACAGAGCCCUAUGAAGCUGAAGGUGUUGCUUACUUGGGCUGUCUUAGAUACUUAGUUGGUUUGUUCUGUUAAGUGGACCACUAGGAUUCUUUGCUGCUUUCUGGCUGUCUUUCUGUGCACUUGAUCUCUACAGGGCUUUAUCCUCUCUCAUCUAGGUGUGUGGUUUUUUCCAGGAACGAUGAUCUAGAAAACAAACUAUCAUAGUUCUCUUGCAAUUCUCUGCUGGCCCCAAAUUUUCCCUAAUGUACAGACAGUGCCUUCUACAUCAGCAGACAGAUCACUAUAAAGAUCCUGGAGCAUUAGUAGUUCAGGAGGGUAUUUGCCUCUCCUUUCCCUUGCCUUAUUGUUCUAUUUUGCGUUGCAGCCUGCAACUGGAGAAAGGUAUCAGAUGAGGAUGAGAUCCUGCCUCAUAAGCUCCAGGCUGCACUUGAACAAAUCUUGGAGGAACGAAAUGAAAUCUUG